ACUUCCUGCAGAAAUCCUCCAGCCCUGUUAGAAAUGCCUCAGCCAGGGGGACUCAUCUCCUCAAACCUGGGGGACCGAGACCUAUGAGAGGUCACAGCAUGAGCCAGGACAUCGGAGGUACCCAGACAUUGUUAUGAAACUCCGCAUGUGCCCCUGGUGGACGCUGCUGGACCCAGCAUGCACACUUCUCGGCUAAGAGUCACCCUGGAUGAACCACCAUUGCCAGCGGGGAGCAUGUUGCAGCUUUCCCACGCAGUGGAUGAGAACGAAGGUUACGACCAUUGUGUGGGAGGCGUCUGUGUAGCAAUUGCUGGAAUCACUUGUGGCAUUGUAGAAAGACUGAGCGUGGGAAAGAAGACGCAUUCUGAAGUCACCCCGAUUUAUGUUAAAUUAUCACCUUGACUACUGCUAUAGAACGAAUGUUUAUGUCCCCCACCCAAAUUCGUAUGCUAAGACCUAAUAGCCAAUAAGAUAGUAUUAAUAGAUGGGGCCUUUGGGAGGUGAGUGGCUCAUGAGGGCAGAGUCCUCAAAACCAGAUAAGUGCCCGAAUAAAAGGGGCCCCAGAGAGAUCCCUUGCACCGUCUACCAUGUGAAGUGUAGAACACAGCGAGAAGGCCACCUAUGAGCCAGAACGUGGGCCCUCACCAGAACCCAGUUGUGCUGGCACCCUGAUCCUGGACUUCCAGCCUCCAAAAUGACGACAAAGAAGUUUGUUUUUCCUGAGCCAUCCACUUCAAAGUAUUCUGUCAUAGCUCCCCAAAUAGACUAAGACAUCUACUUAACCUUGGUCAAACGUUUAACCUUGGAGUCCACGCCUCUGAAAUGGUGACAAUAACACUGUGUAUUUCCUACUUUAUGAUCAGGAUUAAUAAAUGUAAUUUAUUAAUCAGAAAUUAGUAAUUUCUGAUUAUUAA
rnacentral:lncRNA from 10 species